rnacentral:sRNA from 1 species
GUUAAAGGAAGGCAGUCUAGGAGCGCGACGUCCUGUCGCCACGACCGCAUGACCGGCAUCGUGCCGG